UCUGGUAAUGAUGGCAGAGAGGUCACACCCGUUCCCAUACCGAACACGGAAGUUAAGCUCUCUAGCGCCGAUGGUAGUUGGGACC
rnacentral:rRNA from 1 species